AAUCGAAACUUGAAUUGUGAAUUAUAUCAAUGAAUGAAUGCUUAUGCUUAUGCUUAGGAACCGUGAAUUAUGCGUUGGAGCACUUGGUAGGUCUUGGAUGAUGGACAUGCCAUGUCUAAAAAUGGUUUUCUUCUUGGUAUUAUAGGUGAUUUGUGGAGGAAGCGGCUCGGCUUUGAAGGAAAUGAAGGUGGCGGAUGUUACUGUUUGGGAAUUUGGGUUAGGUGUUAGAACAUAGGCCACAAGUUCAUAUAUUUUUGUGUUUUCUUCGUGUGUAAAGCAUUAACGGUGGUUAUGCUUGGUUCUUGAUUUUGAAUGGAGAAUUAGUGAUAAUUUAGAUUGGUUAUUGUAAACUGAAACAAAAGGUUGAAUGUUGUCAUGUAAUAUUGUAUAGAUUGGUUAGGAUGGAAAGUGGUGUAAUGGUUGUAUUUAAAUGUUGAUUUUUUUAGAAAAGGAUACUGUAUGAGAAUGGUUUUGAAGUUUUAGUUCAUAAAAGGUGUAGAAAUGGCAAAUGCAUGGUCAUGUAAUGAAUAAAGAAUGGAGAUGUUGAAUUAUGAUGUGAAAUACUUGUAGAGCUGAUGCCCAUGUAUGAUGCAAGAUGCUUAUAUAUACAAGUAUAACAACAUUAUGAUGAUAGGUUCUCAAAGCUUAAUGUUC
rnacentral:lncRNA from 1 species